GUGAGGAAUAUUGCGCAAUGGAGGCAACUCUGACGCAGCCAUGCCGCGUGCAGGAAGAAGGCGCUACGCGUUGUAAACUGCUUUUAACCGGGAAGAAACCCCAGGACGUGUCCUGGGUUGACGGUACCGGAGGAAUAAGCACCGGCUAACUUCGUGCCAGCAGCCGCGGUAAUACGAAGGGUGCAAGCGUUAUCCGGAUUCAUUGGGUUUAAAGGGUGCGUAGGCGGAGCGUUAAGUCAGUGGUGAAAUCCUGCAGCUUAACUGUAGACUUGCCAUUGAGACUGGGGCUCUUGAGUGCGCUUGAAGUGGGCGGAAUGUGCCGUGUAGCGGUGAAAGGCUUAGAUAUGGCACAGAACACCAAUUGCGAAGGCAGCUCACUAAGGCGAUACUGACGCUGAGGCACGAAAGCGUGGGGAUCGAACAGGAUUAGAUACCCCAGUAGUCC
rnacentral:rRNA from 1 species